rnacentral:rRNA from 1 species
UAAUACGUAGGGCGCGAGCGUUAUCCGGAAUUAUUGGGCGUAAAGAGCUCGUAGGCGGUUUGUCGCGUCUGCCGUGAAAGUCCGGGGCUUAACCCCGGAUCUGCGGUGGGUACGGGCAGACUGGAGUGCAGUAGGGGAGACUGGAAUUCCUGGUGUAGCGGUGAAAUGCGCAGAUAUCAGGAGGAACACCGAUGGCGAAGGCAGGUCUCUGGGCUGUUACUGACGCUGAGGAGCGAAAGCAUGGGGAGCGAACAGGAUUAGAUACCCUGGUAGUCCAUGCCGUAAACGUUGGGCACUAGGUGUGGGGGCCAUUCCACGGUUUCCGCGCCGCAGCUAACGCAUUAAGUGCCCCGCCUGGGGAGUACGGCCGCAAGGCUA